rnacentral:ncRNA from 1 species
AAGAAACCAUUAAAGGUAAUAAUAUGCAACAUGAGAAACCUCAUCUGGCCCAGACACAGACAGGAUUGUCAGACUGAUAGUUCUUUCUCAGUUCGGUUUGUGGUGGUGCAUGGCUGUUCUUAGUUGGUGGAGCAAUUGUCUGAUUAACUCUGGUAACGAACGAGACUCUGGCACGCUAACUAGUUACAUGACCCGAGCAGUCAAUGUCCCCCGACUUCUUAGAGGGACAAGUGGCAUUCAGCCCCCCGAGACUGAGCAGUAACAAGUCUGUGAUGCCCUUAGGUACAGGGCACCAUGUGCAUUACAUGUAGGGGUAACCGGUUGAACCCCAUUCGUGAUGGGGAUCCGGAAUUGCAAUUAUUCCCCAUGAACGAGAAAUUCCCAGUAAGUGCUGAUCAUAAGCUUGUAUUGACUAAGUCCCUGCCUU